UGAGUAACACGUAUCCAACCUGCCGUCUACUCUUGGACAGCCUUCUGAAAGGAAGAUUAAUACAAGAUGGCAUCAUGAGUUCACAUGUUCACAUGAUUAAAGGUAUUCCGGUAGACGAUGGGGAUGCGUUCCAUUAGAUAGUAGGCGGGGUAACGGCCCACCUAGUCUUCGAUGGAUAGGGGUUCUGAGAGGAAGGUCCCCCACAUGGAACUGAGACACGGUCCAA
rnacentral:rRNA from 1 species